ACAAUCAGAAACAGAAUGAUUUGGGAAAGCAAUAUUUACUGUGCAAAUGUAGAACAAGGGCGAAGAAACCGGAAGCAGAAUUUUAUCUUAACGAGCUGACAAGACAACGCCUUCCAAAAAGUGGCCGAGAGCCCUGGUCCCUUCUCAACCACUGGAAGCUAACCAUGGCCAGGUAGGGAGCUCCAGCCAGGAGAUACAAGGCUGGAAGACUCCUCCAUGAUACCCAUGUGCCGCAAUAGGUAGAAAUACAAUGUCUACUAGACCCCCCUAUAAUAUCCAUAUAUCCCAAUAGAUUGAAAUGUAAUGUCCGGUAGACACCCCCCUAUGAUAUUCAUAUACACUAAAAGGUUGAAAUACAAUGUCCGGUAGACCCCCUCUAUGAUAUCCAUACACCCCACCCAAUAGUUUGAAAUACAACGGCCGGUAGACCGCCUCUAUAACUAUAAGCCCUAAUAGGAUGAACUACAACAUUCAGUAGCCCCCUCUAUGAUAUCCAUACACCCCACCCAAUAGGAUGGAAUACAAUGGCCGGUAGACCCCCUCUAUGAUACUCUAUACCUCAAUAAGCCACACGGACAGCCAUUGUCUUCAUAAGGUAAAUGCUUUACAUGAUCACCAUGGACAAGCUGUGAAUGAAGGUGGUCAGUUUGAGUACAGCACCGUCACGUCAUGUGGGUACGCCGUAGUGACAAGCGCGGAGAAUGCGGCCCCGGGUUGGGCAUGUAUGUACGCUCUGCACUCUGAGGUCUCUUGGCUCUUCCUAUAACUUCAGCUCACAAGCAUGACAAGGUAAAGGGUUAUGACAAACUCUGUUGGAGGGCACAACUCGGACAAACUCCGAGGGCACAUUUGAAGAGCAAAUUACUUCCAUACUUGAUGCCGGAGUGUGAAGGACACGUCUGUCAUAUGGCGACAUCUCUUAGAACGUCACUCUGCAAAUGUGGUGACUCAACCCAUCAACACACUGGGAAAAACGCCUGAGGUGUCUCCUUCCUGGUGGACAGAUUCCCGAAACAGGAGAUGGACGGCAGCCAAGGGGUCAAGUUGAUAAUUUCCAAUGAAUGCCAUCGAGAAUUAUAUGAGGCGUAAGGCUGUAAUGUGAAAUCAUUCACAGGAACGAGUUAAGGAGGUGAGCUAACAUUCGCCACCUACGUGAUGGGAACCGUGUAUUACCCAUCCAGGAAGGGCACAGCGACUAAGGAAUAACCGUCUGGAGAAAUGUCAGACUCACCUGAAAUUCAAUCAGAUGUUAAAACAUUUGACGACCUGAAGAAUCUGAUUAAGUAUCACAAUGGACAAAUUUUAAGGAACUGCACCCGCUGUGUGGUCCACGUGAGACACGUCUGCCAGGAAUAACGAGGACGAUGGGCAGCAGGACCCAACAGAGCUCAGCUGUCAUUUCUUAAAGGGGUUGUCUGGACAGUGAGUGAUGAAGGAAGACCAGCGCUAUAUAAGCACGGCUGCCGACUUCCAGAAAAAGCGCCACCCCUGCCCAUGUCUGGUACUGCAGCUCAGCCCCACCGACGUGAAGGACGUCCCCCACCACACCAAGAGGGGACCUGCUCUAAAAAGCAGAUCUCAGCAGACGUCUCUCCGGUCUUUUCACUAAGGACCCGAAAUCUGUAGGAAAAAGGUGCAGUUUCACCAGCUGACCCACAGGACUGGGAAGACUAUCAAACUAUUAAAGAGGACCUUUCACCAGUUCUUACUUUAUAAAAGCGAAACCUCACACUGUAGCCCAUGUUCCCUAGAUGUCAUAUCGCGAUUUUUUUUCAUGAUAUGCCCCUCUGUUGCGCCCCUGUGUCCCUCGUUCUGUUUCAAAGCAAGAGUUGAACGCCACUCCUUAUUUAGUGUGGAUGGUGCUCAGUGGUAAGUAUAAUACCAAUGUUGAUAGGAAGACCACGGCACUCAAAAGAGAAUGUUGCAUCAAUAUCUUUAUUUUAUAUAUUUUGUUUUAUAUAUCCAUCCGGAAUUUUUUUUUAUUCACAGUGGUAUACUGGCCAACGUUUCGGUCUUAUCCAAGACCUUGUUCACGGCCUGAGUGUUUUCGGUAGUAGAGGCAUCAGAU